rnacentral:rRNA from 1 species
UACGGAGGGUGCAAGCGUUAAUCGGAAUUACUGGGCGUAAAGGGUGCGUAGGUGGCGUGGUAAGUCGGAUGUGAAAUCCCGGGGCUCAACCCCGGAACUGCAUUCGAUACUGCCAUGCUAGAGUACUGGAGAGGAGAUUGGAAUUUACGGUGUAGCAGUGAAAUGCGUAGAUAUCGUAAGGAAGACCAGUGGCGAAGGCGGAUCUCUGGACAGUUACUGACACUGAGGCACGAAGGCCAGGGGAGCAAACGGG